rnacentral:rRNA from 1 species
GAUUUCUGGCUCGUUGCCCUAGCCCGCUUACUUCGGUGGGUGAGUGCUGGUGCAAUCUGCCAUCCUUCCAGAGAGCCGUGAGUACCAUUUACUUGGCCGCUCGCGUGCGAUCUGGAUCAUUUACUUUGAAAAAAUUAGAGUGUUUAAAGCAGGCUUACGCCUUGAAUACAUUAGCAUGGAAUAAUAACAUAGGACUUCGGUUCUAUUUUGUUGGUUUCUAGGACCUUAGUAAUGAUUGAUAGGGAUAGUUGGGGGUGCUAGUAUUCAGCGGCCAGAGGUGAAAUUCUCGGAUUCGCUGAAGACUAACUUAUGCGAAAGCAUU